rnacentral:misc_RNA from 1 species
GGCAAAGUCUCCUCUGAUCAUCUGAAAAUGAGGAGCGUCCAAUAAGGUUUAAAAGUUCCCAAGCUGAACCCAAGCAAGUAACACACAGCCUAUCACAUCCAUCAGGAAUUGAUGGCUCAAAAUCAGAAGGAAGACUAAAUACAGCCGAAAAUAACUUCAAGUCAGCAAUAUAAGUCAUUGCUUUGACCGGUUGGUCACCAGACAUCAUAAGAUCAAUUUCAUGUCCUAUGCGUUCUCUGCUAAUUUUAUCAGCAAUAGCAACUCUCACGUCUUCAUCUGCAGCUGC